UACGUAGGGGGCUAGCGUUGUCCGGAUUUAUUGGGCGUAAAGCGCGUGUAGGCGGCCAGGUAGGUCCGUUGUGAAAACUCGAGGCUCAACCUCGAGACGUCGACGGAAACCAUCUGGCUAGAGUCCGGAAGAGGAGAGUGGAAUUCCUGGUGUAGCAGUGAAAUGCGUAGAGAUGUGGAGGAACACCGAUGGCGAAAGCAGCCCCCUGGGCUAACACUGACGCUCAUGCACGAAAGCGUGGGGAGCAAACAGG
rnacentral:rRNA from 1 species